rnacentral:rRNA from 1 species
GAUGAACGCUAGCGGGAGGCUUAACACAUGCAAGUCGAGGGGCAGCAUUGGUACUUGUACCAGAUGGCGACCGGCGGACGGGUGCGUAACGCGUAUGCAACCUACCUUAUGCUUGGGAAUAGCCCAUGGAAACGUGGAUUAAUACCCUAUAGUACUAUAAAGCUUCAUGGCUUAAUAGUUAAAGCUUCGGCGGCAUAAGAUGGGCAUGCGUCUGAUUAGCUAGAUGGUGAGGUAACUGCUCACCAUGGCGACGAUCAGUAGGGGGCCUGAGAGGGUGACCCCCCACACUGGUACUGAGACACGGACCAG